rnacentral:rRNA from 1 species
AUUGAACGCUGGCGGCAGGCCUAACACAUGCAAGUCGAGCGGAAACGAGUUAACUGAACCUUCGGGGAACGUUAACGGCGUCGAGCGGCGGACGGGUGAGUAAUGCCUGGGAAAUUGCCCUGAUGUGGGGGAUAACCAUUGGAAACGAUGGCUAAUACCGCAUAAUAGCUUCGGCUCAAAGAGGGGGACCUUCGGGCCUCUCGCGUCAGGAUAUGCCCAGGUGGGAUUAGCUAGUUGGUGAGGUAAGGGCUCACCAAGGCGACGAUCCCUAGCUGGUCUGAGAGGAUGAUCAGCCACACUGGAACUGAGACACGGUCCAGACUCCUACGGGAGGCAGCAGUGGGGAAUAUUGCACAAUGGGCGCAAGCCUGAUGCAGCCAUGCCGCGUGUAUGAAGAAGGCCUUUCGGGUUGUAAAAGUACCUUUCAGCAGUGAGGAAGGUGGUAGUGUUAAUAACUAUCAUUUGACGUUGCUGCAGAAGAA